AAGUAACUUAAACGAAAGGAAUGACGAGAAAAGUAACUUAAGAAUAAAAAAGAAAGGAAAGAAAGCAACAGUAACGAUGUUCGUUCUUCCUUGAUCAGCAUAUAAGUCUUUCCUUUCUCUCUCGUCUUUUGUCUGUCUGGUCUUCCUUUUAACUGAUCCUCAAAGAAGGAUGGGAGGCGGGAAUUAAAAGAUCGAAC
rnacentral:ribozyme from 1 species